rnacentral:rRNA from 1 species
UACGUAGGGACCAAGCGUUGUUCGGAUUUACUGGGCGUAAAGGGCGCGUAGGCGGCAUGUUAAGUCAGCUGUGAAAUCUCCGAGCUUAACUCGGAACUGUCAGCUGAUACUGAUGUGCUAGAGUGCAGAAGGGGCAAUCGGAAUUCUUGGUGUAGCGGUGAAAUGCGUAGAUAUCAGGAGGAAUACCGAUGGCGAAGGCAGGUCUCUGGGCUGAUACUGACGCUCAUGCACGAAAGCGUGGGGAGCAAACAGG